rnacentral:rRNA from 1 species
AGAAUCAACGCUGGCGGCGUGCCUAACACAUGCAAGUCGCACGAGAAAGGGACUUCGGUCCUAAGUACAGUGGCGCACGGGUGAGUAACACGUGAAUUAUCUACCUCCGAGUGGGGAAUAACUGAGAGAAAUCUUAGCUAAUACCGCAUAACACUUACGAGUCAAAGCAGCAAUGCGCUUGGAGAGGAGUUCGCGGCAGAUUAGUUAGUUGGCGGGGUAAUGGCCCACCAAGACGAUGAUCUGUAUCCGGCCUGAGAGGGCGCACGGACACACUGGAACUGAAACACGGUCCAGACUCCUACGGGAGGCAGCAGUGGGGAAUUUUGCGCAAUGGGGGAAACCCUGACGCAGCAACGCCGCGUGGAGGAUGAAAUAUCUUGGUAUGUAAACUCCUUUCGAGUGGGGAAGAUAAUGACGGUACCCAUAGAAGAAGCCCGGCUAACUUCGCGCCAGCACGC